rnacentral:rRNA from 1 species
GUAGGUGGCAAGCGCUGUCCGGAAUUAUUGGGCGUAAAGCGCGCGCAGGCGGUCCUUUAAGUCUGAUGUGAAAGCCCACGGCUCAACCGUGGAGGGUCAUUGGAAACUGGGGGACUUGAGUACAGAAGAGGAAAGCGGAAUUCCAAGUGUAGCGGUGAAAUGCGUAGAGAUUUGGAGGAACACCAGUGGCGAAGGCGGCUUUCUGGUCUGUAACUGACGCUGAGGCGCGAAAGCGUGGGGAGCAAACAGGGAUUAGAUACCCUGGUAGUCCACGCCGUAAACGAUGAGUGCUAAGUGUUAGGGGGGUUUCCGCCCCCUUAGUGCUGCAGCUAACGCAUUAAGCACUCCGCCUGGGGAGUACGGCCGCAAGGCUG